rnacentral:tRNA from 1 species
GUAGAUAUAGUUUAACCAAAAACAUUAGAUUGUGAUUCUAAAAACAGAGGUUAAAAUCCUUUUAUCCACC